CAGUCCCGCGGGAAUACGAAGGGUGCAAGCGUUAAUCGGAAUUACUGGGCGUAAAGCGUGCGUAGGCGGUGAGUUAAGUCUGCUGUGAAAUCCCCGGGCUCAACCUGGGAAUGGCAGUGGAUACUGGCUCGCUAGAGUGUGUCAGAGGAUGGUGGAAUUCCCGGUGUAGCGGUGAAAUGCGUAGAGAUCGGGAGGAACAUCAGUGGCGAAGGCGGCCAUCUGGGACAACACUGACGCUGAGGCACGAAAGCGUGGGGAGCAAACAGGAUUAGAUACCCCAGUAGUCCCUGUCUCUUAUACA
rnacentral:rRNA from 1 species